GACGAACGCUGGCGGCGUGCCUAAUACAUGCAAGUCGAACGAAGCUUUCUUUCACCGAAUGCUUGCAUUCACCGAAAGAAGCUUAGUGGCGAACGGGUGAGUAACGCGUGAGUAACCUGCCCUGGAGUGGGGGACAACAGUUGGAAACGACUGCUAAUACCGCAUAAGCCCACGGAGCCGCAUGGCUCUGAGGGAAAAGGAGAAAUUUCGCUUCAGGAUGGACUCGCGUCCAAUUAGCUAGUUGGUGAGGUAACGGCCCACCAAGGCGACGAUUGGUAGCCGGACUGAGAGGUUGAACGGCCACAUUGGGACUGAGACACGGCCCAGACUCCUACGGGAGGCAGCAGUGGGGGAUAUUGCACAAUGGGGGAAACCCUGAUGCAGCGACGCCGCGUGGAGGAAGAAGGUUUUCGGAUUGUAAACUCCUGUCGUUAGGGACGAUAAUGACGGUACCUAACAAGAAAGCACCGGCUAACUACGUG
rnacentral:rRNA from 1 species